UACGUAGGGUGCAAGCGUUGUCCGGAAUUAUUGGGCGUAAAGAGCUCGUAGGCGGUCUGUCGCGUCUGCUGUGAAACUCAGGGCUUAACCCUGAGCUUGCAGUGGGUACGGGCAGACUAGAGUGCGGUAGGGGAGACUGGAAUUCCUGGUGUAGCGGUGAAAUGCGCAGAUAUCAGGAGGAACACCGGUGGCGAAGGCGGGUCUCUGG
rnacentral:rRNA from 1 species